rnacentral:lncRNA from 1 species
AGGGAGAAGAUCAAUUUAUCAACAAUAUCAUCAUCAUCAUCAUCAAUGUUACUGUUAUCAUUAAAAAACACCAGCCCCAUGCUCUUGUUCCCCAGUUUUAAAGACAUAGUGGGAUGCUUUGAUUCCACUAAACAGGAUGAGAGAGAGGUCUAAGAAACAGCUGUGCAUGGCAGAGAGAAAUGGGAGGAGGGACACUCAAACCUGCCAGGGAUACAACUAGCAGUUCCUUACUCUCUCUUUUCAGGUCUGGUUUGUCUCUUACAUACACUCUAGAGGUCUUAGCAGUUCUAUUUCAAAGUUUUGUUUUAAUAACAGAAGGAUGUAUAGAAGCAAGUACUUUUCUUGAUUUUCUCCUCAAAGAGAGUGAAGCUGCAAAGGGCAAAACACAGGUAAAUAUGCUAUUUAGGGAAUGAGUCAGAUAUUUUAUGAUGCUAUGGGGAAUUAUCAAGCUCCAAAAACACCUUGUGGUACCUUAAGAAGUGGGGAUUUGGAGAUUAUCUAACCUAAAGCCUUUGAUUUACUCAUAAGAAAACCAAAACCUGCAAGCAAAUAAGGUGCCUGCCCAAAGGCACAUAGCUCAUUUGCAAAGAGUACAGACCCUACACCAUGCAUGGUGCUUAGACCUACAUUUGCUAGUUACCAUCUCUAGACAAGUUAGUCCAGAUGAUUUUGGGGUUAACAUGUUGGCAUUUCCUGGCACUAUUACUGCUAGCUGAAUAAGAGUUGAAAGUUGGCUGGUAAAUGAAGAUUUCACUCUUUUUUCACUCUUCCUUCUGCAGACCCUCCCAACCUUUCAAUGUAAGUCACUAUAGUUUUUUGAGAAGUCAAAAUUCAGCGUCUACAUUAUGUAUACAUAUUACACUGCACUAUGGUUGUUUCUUACCUUUUGCUUUUCCUGUAGUAAAUAAAUACCUUGUUCAUUGUUGCUGUUUUCAUAAUUCUUCCCACAUCUUCAAUAAUCUCUCAGUAAUAUUUUCCACAAGGUAAAUUGCGUCAGGUAACCAAUCGGUCCCAUUGUGACUUUUCUUUGAGAACACAUUCUGGAAACCUCCAUUCUCCUUUUACUUGAGCUGGCUGCUCUCUAAGCCUACUGCACAGCCAUUAUCUUUUGAAUUCCCUUUUAUUUUCUUCUAGAUUGGAUUCUCAGCUUUCAGGAUCUCGUGUUUUUGUCUUUCUUGAUUCACUCCAUUAUUUCACACAGUAAAAAUCCAAUUUUUUUUACAUAAAAAGAUGACAUGAUGACAGAAGGCAUGAUGAUGACAGCUGUCAAUGUGUCUGUCCCUCAAUUCACACUAGUCCUAUCUGGACCAAUUUCCCUCUCCACCUGACACACUGCUUUCACACGGGAAUUUUCCUUCACUGUCACCCUGCUGACUCCUGUUGCGUUUCCCUGUGUCACCCUGUUCUGUGGCUGUGUCUCCCACUCUCUUGGUUUACUUUGCCGUUUUGAUGAAGUACAUCCUAUCAUACAUUCCUGAGAAGACUGUCUGGAAGGCAAAAUUUUUAAGAGCUUGUAUGUCUGGAAAUAGUUCGUAUCCAUUCUAGAAUAUCUUAUUGGGUUUUUUUUUCUCCCUUCAUUUUCUCUGAAAGAAGAGCGAAAAUAUGAAGAUAUUUCUCAUAAUAAAGAUACGAAAAUCUGUUAUUUGAAAGUUGGACUUGCAUACUGGCCCCGAUUUUCUUAUCCUUCCUCUUUCAUUUUCUACCUCUUUGUCUUUUUGUCCUACUUUCUAGGAGUUUUAGCUAAUAUUAUCAUCCAAACCUCUUACUAAGAUUUUCAUUUCUGCUAUCAUUUCUAAGGUCCUCUGUUUUUGUUGUUUUUGACUAAGGGUUCAUUUAUUUUAGUAUCCUAUUUUUGU